UAGGGAAUCUUCCGCAAUGGGCGAAAGCCUGACGGAGCAACGCCGCGUGAGUGAUGAAGGUCUUCGGAUCGUAAAACUCUGUUAUUAGGGAAGAACAAAUGUGUAAGUAACUAUGCACGUCUUGACGGUACCUAAUCAGAAAGCCACGGCUAACUACGUGCCAGCAGCCGCGGUAAUACGUAGGUGGCAAGCGUUAUCCGGAAUUAUUGGGCGUAAAGCGCGCGUAGGCGGUUUUUUAAGUCUGAUGUGAAAGCCCACGGCUCAACCGUGGAGGGUCAUUGGAAACUGGAAAAACUUGAGUGCAGAAGAGGAAAGUGGAAUUCCAUGUGUAGCGGUGAAAUGCGCAGAGAUAUGGAGGAACACCAGUGGCGAAGGCGGCUUUCUGGUCUGUAACUGACGCUGAUGUGCGAAAGCGUGGGGAUCAAACAGGAUUAGAUACCCCUGGUAGUCCCACGCCGUAAACGAUGAGUGCUAAGUGUUAGGGGGUUUCGCCCCUUAGUGCUGCAGCUAACGCAUUAGCACUCCGCCUGGGGAGUACGACCGC
rnacentral:rRNA from 1 species